rnacentral:tRNA from 1 species
GGAAAGAUGCCGGAGUGGUCGAACGGGGCGGUCUCGAAAACCGUUAACCGCUUACGCGGUUCCAGGGUUCGAAUCCCUGUCUUUCCG